UCAACCUGCUCCACUCAAACUCUGGGGACACUUUUUGUUCCUUGGAAGAAGUGCUGCCAAGGUUUUGAGGGUAGCCGAUUGA
rnacentral:pre_miRNA from 1 species